rnacentral:lncRNA from 1 species
CCUAAUCGCGUGGGUAUCCGGAAUGUGGUACCGGGAUCGAAUCCUCUGUAACUCAGCCUCAGUCACGAUAGAGGGAGUAUUGGCAUGCGAGAAACGCUCAGUGCUCCUGUAGUACUCAGAGGGGGUUUUGGGAGUUUUUGGGAGAGGAUUCUUGUCGGUUUUCGACCCCUUUGGAUUCGAGGCCGAAAUUUCUUCGUGAGCGGUAGGGUUUGGCGGAACAAUAGUGAUCGGUGUUACUAGUAUAGGAGAACCUUGUUCAAAAUUUUGGGAAGCCAUUGUUGACAAGUUGCAGAAGAAAAGAGAAAGUUCAGAAAGUUAGAGAGUUCAGAAGGCGCUCGAAUUUCAAAUGGGCAGGUAAAACUGUCAAAAUUAGUAAAGUUACCUUUUG